rnacentral:rRNA from 1 species
AGCGUAGACGGCAAGGCAAGUCUGAUGUGAAAACCCAGGGCUUAACCCUGGGACUGCAUUGGAAACUGUCUGGCUCGAGUGCCGGAGAGGUAAGUGGAAUUCCUAGUGUAGCGGUGAAAUGCGUAGAUAUUAGGAAGAACACCAGUGGCGAAGGCGGCUUACUGGACGGUAACUGACGUUGAGGCUCGAAAGCGUGGGGAGCGAACA